AGCUUGAUAGCACAACUGGUUAGUGCAGCUGCUACAAAUGCAAAACUUCAGGAUCAAUCUUUCUGCAGAAGAUCCCUGUUCGACUCAGAGUCAGGUUC